ensembl:lncRNA
GUGCAGGCUGGGUACCCGCUCCGUGUUUGCACGUGAGGUGAUAACAGCAGAUCAAAGGCAUCGAGACCAGAAUGUACUUUCGAAGAGCCAGCUGAGACUGUGUGGAAAUAAUGCUUAGCAUUUAUGUCGCACUUUAGACUCUCAAAGGAUUCUACAAUUAUUAAUUAAUUAUCCCACACAAUAGCUCUAGGAGGAAGGACUACAAGCAGUUUGAAAAUAGAGACUAAUCCUUGUCGCUCGAGUUAUUGCAGGAAACUGCGCUGAGUGCUUAGUGCUUUACAAUGCUGCUUUUACUUAAGUCUCACAAUGACUUUUGAGGUGUUUUGUCUUUCAGCAACGAUAUUUAUGUGGAAAGAAGCUGGUCUUUGGAGUCAGACCUAAUUCACCUUGAAUAUGGGCAAUUGUCUCGAUGUGUUGUGUGACCGCGUGCACAUGGUUCCAUCUUUGGGUUGAAGUUUCAUUGCCAGAAAGAUGAGGUCACUCACCCUGCCACGUGGGAGAUUCUCCUCUUGUGGGGAUAACAGCCUGCCUCCUCAAUGAACUAUAACAACAGCUCUAAAUGCAUCUCCUGUAAUAUACCUCUGUGAUUUGCAAAAGUGGGAAUAAAUCAAAGCCAGGAAGAGAUGCCACGUUAAGCCAGAAGCUAAAUGUUACAUCAUGUAGCGCGAGGCUAAGGGAAGAGAGAACCUGCUUUUUCCUGGCAGCACAGUAUCUUUGUGCUUGUUACCUCCGCCACAGCCCCAUUAAAACAAUCAUUUGGAAUCUGCGGGAAAUUGUCACCUCCUUCUUUCCUGCCAUGGCAGCUGGUACUGGGGGUUGCAGACAAAGCUCAUUCCCUUCAAGGUUCUUAGCACACAUGCGAAAAGGAAAAUGAAGCUUAAUUUGUUAAAAAAAGAAAAAAAAAAGUGUCAGCUUACCCUCAG